ensembl:snRNA U6 U6 spliceosomal RNA
GUGCUUGUUUCUGUAGCACACUAAAAUGGAACCAUACAGAGGAUUAGCAUGUCCCUGAAACAGAAGACAUGCAAAUUUGUGAAGUAUUUUGUUUUUUU